GUAAAUUCAUUUCGCUGAGAAAGUUUGUUCAUUAAAAAUAUGGAUUUUAAACGUCUGAGCUGCGACACGAAACCACCAGUCGCUGAGAUACCUCAAACAGAUGAUGAGAAUGGUACAGACUUCUCCGCAGGACCGUCGGACGAGUACGUCCCCGAUUCGGAUGAUAAUGUACUGGCUUUGGCAGAUGAAUUAGAUAAUUCAGUGAUAAAGACAGCAGAUGUAGUUUUAGAAGAAAUUGCAGACUGUGGUGAUACUUAUAUCAAUAACAAGAAUGAAAAUGGUAGAAAUAUACUUACGCGAAAGAGAAAGAUUGAAAGUCAUAAAUGCGUGCAGAAUAAAAGGAAGUAUCAUCGCAACAAAGGGAACCCGUAUGUCACUAACAGUGGCAAAAGAGUUGAAGAACGUGUUCCGAAACCCAUUGACUGUAAGUGCCGCCAUAAUUGCACAGAAAACUUCUCAGCAGAAGAGCGCACAGAUAUCAAUGCAGACUAUUGGAAUUUAGGCGACUAUUCGAGGCAGCGACUGUUCCUGGCCAAUUGCGUGAAGAUUGAGAAGUGCAAAAGGACGUUGACAAUUGGAUCACGGCGGGCGAACACAUUUAGUUAUACUCUCAAAGCCAAACAGCCAAGAAGAUGUGCCAAAAUGAAUUUACUGAUAAGAGGGGUCAACAUGGCCACCAGAGAAAAUUAAACGAAGAGACAGUUGCGCUUAUCAAACAGCACAUCGAGUUAUUUCCAGCCAUCGAAAGCCAUUACACUCGAGCAAAAAGUCAACGAUUUUAUCUUGUCUCCGAUGUAACAAAUGUACGAUUUAUUCAAAGAACUCCACCCGGACGCUAUCAUUAAAGAAAACGUUUAUCGCCGGAUAUUUUGCAUGGAUUAUAAUUAUUCUUUCCACCGUCCAAAAAAGGACACCUGCUUAACAUGCGAGAGGUACAAAAACGCUGAGGACAAAGACUCAUUUCGGAAAUCCUAUGAUGAACACAUCUUAAAUAAGACAAAGGCAAGAACUAACAAGCAAACUGACAAGAAAUCAGCUAAAAGUAACAGUAAUUUAAAAGUGUUUACUUCUGAUCUCCAGUCAGUGUUAACGACUCCUUGUAGCAACGUAAGGACGAUGUAUUACAGUCGACACAUUUUACGACAUUGCCAGUGGAGAAGGUUACUGUUCUCUAUGGGAUGAAAAUCAGGGUCAACGAGGAUCGGACGAAAUUGGGACCACUAUAUUAAAAAUGAUGAACUCGUUAGACGAAUCUGUAACCGAUGUUAUUCUCUACUCCGACUGCUGCGGGGGACAAAACAGAAACAGGUUCAUUGCUACACUAUUGAUUUAUAUCAACAAUACCUUGAAGCUUAAUUCGAUAACAAUUAAGUACCUCCAAAGCGGACACACACAAAUGGAGGCAGAUUCGAUACACUCUGCAAUAGAACGUGCGAAGAGAAGUAUAUGCGUUUAUUCGCCGGAAGAAUGGCCAACCAUAAUGAGACUGGCAAGACGGAAAAACCUAUAUGCUGUAGAGAGGCUUCAAUACAGUGAUAUGAUUAAUCUCAAAGCCAUGUUUUCUAGUUUAGGCCAUAGCCUUAAGAAAAAUAUAAAAAAUGACUCGGAAUGGGAUGGAGACUUGAAAGUAAUUGAUAUUGGAGGAACGCGAAAAAUAAAAGAGGUAUUCAACUUUUCGUUUACUGGCAAACACAAUAAAGAGCUGCCAAUUUGUAAUCGAAAGUGCAUGAUCUUCAAAAUUUGUGCAAAAAGAGUGUAAUUCCUCGUGGCUCGCAGUCAUUUUUUUUAACAUACGAGGUGGAAACAAGCGAAAUUGUUUAGAUAAGCCAGAUGUAGCAGAGGAAGAGAAAGAAGACGAACGAAUUUCUAUUUAUUUUUGAUUUACGCA
rnacentral:misc_RNA from 1 species